rnacentral:lncRNA from 1 species
AAAUAAAGGGGGCGCAGCCCCUGGAGUCCGGAGGAGGCGCCACGGCAGGAGGGGGGCGCGCGCGACCAGGGGGAGGGCCGCGGCUCCCAACCCUAGGCGCCCCAUCUGGGCUGCCCUGUUGGGCCAUCUUCUUAUUCCGCUGGGCCUUCGUUCCUUAACAGCAUGAUGAAGUUUAAUUCUCUCGCACGGGCCCGAGUGAUUGGCCCAACUGGAUGAUCAACUGUAGGCGCCUGAGGUGGAGGAGCAAC